rnacentral:rRNA from 1 species
GAGUUUGAUCCUGGCUCAGGAUGAACGCUGGCGGCGUGCCUAAUACAUGCAAGUCGAGCGAACAGAUAAGGAGCUUGCUCCUUUGACGUUAGCGGCGGACGGGUGAGUAACACGUGGGUAACCUACCUAUAAGACUGGAAUAACUCCGGGAAACCGGGGCUAAUGCCGGAUAAUAUUUAGAACCGCAUGGUUCUAAAGUGAAAGAUGGUUUUACUAUCACUUAUAGAUGGACCCGCGCCGUAUUAGCUAGUUGGUGGGGUAAUGGCUUACCAAGGCAACGAUACGUAGCCGACCUGAGAGGGUGAUCGGCCACACUGGAACUGAGGCACGGUCCAGACUCCUACGGGUGGCAGCAGUAGGGAAUCUUCCGCAAUGGGCGAAAGCCUGACGGAGCAACGCCGCGUGAGUGAUGAAGGUCUUCGGAUCGUAAAACUCUGUUAUUAGGGAAGAACAAAUGUGUAAGUAACUGUGCACGUCUUGACGGUACCUAACCAGAAAGCCACGGCUAACU